GACAGAGGGUGCAAACGUUGCUCGGAAUUACUGGGCGUAAAGCGCGUGUAGGCGGACUUGCAAGUCAGAUGUGAAAUCCCCGAGCUCAACUCGGGAACUGCAUUUGAAACUGCCUGUCUUGAGUAGUGGAGAGGAAAGCAGAAUUCCUGGUGUAGAGGUGAAAUUCGUAGAUAUCAGGAGGAACACCGGUGGCGAAGGCGGCUUUCUGGACACUUACUGACGCUGAGACGCGAAAGCGUGGGGAGCAAAC
rnacentral:rRNA from 1 species